GCAGGGAUUGUGGAAAUUGGUAUAUCCGUCUGAUUUAGAAUCAGGAUUUUGAGAGUUCGAGUCUCACUCCCUGUACCA
rnacentral:tRNA from 1 species